CCUGGUUGAUCCUGCCAGUAGUCAUAUGCUUGUCUCAAAUAUUAAGCCAUGCAUGUCUAAGUAUGAACUAAUUCAGACUGUGAAACUGCGGAUGGCUCAUUAAAUCAGUUAUAGUUUUUUUGAUGGUACCAUACUACUCGGAUAACCGUAGUAAUUCUAGAGCUAAUGCGUGCACCAAGUCCCAACUCUUUGGAAGGGAUGCAUUUUUUAGAUAAAAGGCCGGCGCGGGCUUGCCCGCUUCUCUGGUGAAUCAUGAUAACUCGACGGAUCGCACAGCCCUUGUGCUGGUGAUGCUUCAUUCAAAUUUAUGCCCUAUCAACUUUCGAUAGUAGGAUAGAGGCCUACCAUGGUGGUGACGGGUGACGGAGAAUUAGGGUUUGAUCCUGGAGAGGGAGCCUGAGAAAUGGCUACCACAUCCAAGGAAGGCAACAGGCGUGCAAAUUACCCAAUCCUGACAUGGGGAGGUAGUGACAAUAAAUAACAAUACUGGGCUCAUCGAGUCUGGUAAUUUGAAUGAGUAUAAUCUAAAUCCCUUAACGAGGAUCCAUUGGAGGGCAAGCCUGGUGCCAACAGCUGCAGUAAUUCUAGCUCCAAUAGCGUGUAUUUAAGUUGUUGCAGUGAAAAAGCUCGUAGUUGGAUCUUGGGUCAUAAAGGUCGGUCCGCCUACUCGGUGUGCACCUACCUUCCGUCCUUUUUUUCGGCGGCAUGCUCCUGGCUUUAAUUAGCUGGGUCGCAGCUCCAACACUGUUACUUUGAAAAAUUAGAGUGCUCAAAGCAAGCUUAUGCUCUGAAUACAUUAGCAUGGAAUAACGUGAUAGGAGUUUGGUCCUAUUGUGUUGGCCUUCGGGACUAGAGUAAUGAUUAAUAGGGACUGUUGGGGGCAUUUGUAUUUCAUUGUCAGAGGUGAAAUUCUUGGAUUUAUGAAAGACAGACCACUGCGAAAGCAUUUUCCAAGGAUGUUUUCAUUAAUCAAGAAUGAAAGUUGGGGGCUCGAAGAUGAUCAAAUACCGUCCUAGUCUCAACCAUAAACGAUGCCGACCAGGGAUCGGCAGAUGUUGCUCUAAGGACUCCGCCAACACCUUCGGAGAAAUUAGAGUGUUUGGGUUUUGGGGGGAGUAUGGUCGCAAGGCUGAAACUUAAAGGAAUUGACGGAAGGGCACCACCAGGAGUGGAGCCUGCGGCUUAAUUUGACUCAACACGGGGAAACUUAUUAGGUCCAGGCAUAGUAAGGAUUGACAAAUUGAGAGCUAUUUCUUGAUUCUAUGGGUGGUGGUGCAUGGCUGUUCUUAGUUGGUGGAGCGAAUUUGUCUGGUUAAUUUCGAUAAGGAACAAGACCUCAGCCUACUAACUAGCUAUGUGGAGGUUCCCCUUUGCGGCUAGCUUAUUAGAGGGACUAUGGCCGUUUAGGCCAUGGAAGUUUGAGGAAAUAAUAGGUCUAUGAUGCCCUUAGAUGUUCUGGGCUGCACGCGCACUACACUGAUGUAGCCAACGAGCUUUUCUUCCUGGUUCAAGAGGAUUGGGAAAUAUUCUCAAAUUACAUUGUGAUGGGGAUAGACCAUUGCAAUUAUUGGUCUUCAACGAGGAAUUCCUAGUAAGCGCAUGUCAUCAACUCGUGUUGACUACGUCCCUGCCCUUUGUACACACCCCCGUCGCUCCUACCAGUUGAAUGAUCCGGUGAAGUGUUCGGAUUGCAUCGACGAUGGUGGUCUGCCACCAUCGACGUCGUAAGAAGUUCAUUGAACCUUAUCAUUUAGAGGAAGGAGAAGUCGUAACAAGAUUACCGUAGGUGAACCUGUGGUAG
rnacentral:rRNA from 1 species